rnacentral:lncRNA from 1 species
UUCCUAGAGAUGCUAGAAUUCUGGAGAAUUUUUUCUUUAAAAAAUCUAUAAAAUAUUGCAUGAUGAGUUUCUGUAUGAUGAGAGUUUAAAUUUCUACCACAGCCAUAUAUACAUGCUUGCUAGACAUUGAGCCACACAUUUACUUUUUACUGCUUAUGAGCAUUGAGUGUGGUCAAGCUGUGUAGACCCUUAGGAGCUUGUUAUGUGGUUAAAUCAAGAUUCACUUGCACGUUCACUCACAUAUGCUGCUUCUACUCUGGAAGUACGCAUCCACAUAUAUCCACUCAUUUCCAUCUCCAGAACCACCCAAAAAUAUUCUACUCCUAAUCCGGGAGAGAAUAGGCAAAAACAUUUCUGUGUUCCCCUAUGAAAUAAAUGCUCAAGUUAUCUUGGUUACUACCACUUGCUACAUUAUCUCAUGAGAAGAGUGCUCUAAAAAAAGAGAAAGAAGAAAAAGAUACGAGGAAAUAGAAAGGAGCAAGUGCCCGGAACCUCGAAAGAAAAGAAAAAGUGAGACGAGAGGUAAAAAUGGACAAGUUUCCGACAGUAGAAUUAGGGGUACAAAAUACCCACCUGAGAGAAAAGAAAAAGAAGAGCAUCUCCUUCUCAUCACAAAGUUUCAAAAUCAAGGAAGGUAUGUAUCCCCUAAAAGAGCAAAAGUAGAAUUAGACUUUCACCAUUGUUUUCAGCAUUGUUAUCACCAUCAUCAUCAUAUACCAUUCAUUCACCACACAUGCACAUCUUGAUUUGACUUAUUGGCUUGUUACUUUGGAUCCAUGGUUUGACUAUACAAUAAAUGUCUUGUAAGUAUGUAUACUUUAUCUCCCACCUAUGAGCUCCAGAUAUCAAAAGCCGUAUUAGAGUAGGGUGAGAGAGAAGGCAAUGUCACUAUGCCUUAUACCACAAAUACUACACACUUUGAGAGAAGGCAUAUACCAUCACAGCCUUCAUAAGGAUCCAGAAAUACCACAAAAGAGAGAUCUAAGAGAGUCAUACAAGGAAUAUCUGAGUUUUAUUUGAAAAUCUGCAAAAAGUCCAGAGCUAUAGCUGAUCAAGAAUAAGAAACAUGGCACUUGAUUAGACUGUUCUAUCUUUUAAC